GAAGCAGCAAAUAUCAGGAAUGCCCUGCAAAGAGGACUAGGUUUAUAUCCUCUUUUUACUUUAGGGAAUCCAAACUGCAGGAUCCUGUAUCCCAAGAUCAACUCAUCCUAUGGCAGCAACAGAGUUCUCAGGUGCUCUUUCCCUUUGAGGACAGUGUGUGACGAGUCCCAAGUUGAAUGGAAAGUCAUCUGAAGAUCCUUCUUCGUACACAGCAGCAAUCUGUGGUCUUGGAACAUGCAACUGAUUGAAGCUGAAGGUGGUGGCAGAGACACUGAUGGAGCAGCUGCUGAAAAUAACAGCUCAUGGGACUGAAGGAUAUUAUUAAG
ensembl:lncRNA